AAAUUUUUGUUCCCACAAUCCUCUGUGGAGAACAAUCAGACUUGUUAGCAUCACUGAUAAGCACCAGCCUUGGGCAAAGGGGAAUUGAGCAGCUUGCUCUUAUUUAUCUCUUAGACAAACUUUGUGGGUGGAGAUCUGCAAGCUUGGUAUGAGAGGUUGCUGAGGAGGGGAGUCUUGUGUUGGUGGGAUAGCCCUGUUUUGGCAGCAGAACAGAAUCUUGAGGGCCAUGGUGCCCAAGUGAAACCUUUUGCUUCAUUAUGUGUAAAAUGAAGUUAACACCCUGAAUAUGCUAAUGAGCUUAAUGAAUUAUAUGCUAAACAUAUAUGACUAUAGUGUUUGACUCUUCACCCAAAUCAUGUUAAAUGUCACCCCUGGGGAGGGAAUGGAUAAGGUUAGGAUAUAAUAGAGUGCUAAGAGAAAAAAAAAAAAAGGAAAAAAAAAAAAAGAGAGAGAGAGCAAGGAAAAAAGAGCUGCUGGGGAGGAAGAACAUGCAUUUGGAAACCUAGUAGGGGCAGCUGAUGGGCUGUGCUCCUUCUUCACCAAAACAGGGACACUUUCUUGUGCUUUCAGGCAACAAGCACUUGGCCACCACCUUGACCUCACUGGAAGACCAACCUGAGCAAAAGUCACCUUCAUAUUAGCCUAAAUCUCAAAGCCUGAGAAGAGCACCACAAACUAACAGGUUUGUGUCAGCACAGGAGAACAAGAGUAACAUGAAGCAACCAAUGGAGUUCACUCCAUCAGGAAAAUACGCCCAGGAAAACCUGCAAACCUUUCUGUUGCUUGUGCUAUCCUCUCGCAAUUGAGAUGGACACCAGGGAAUCUCCAGCUGCUCCCCUGAAGAAGACAUAUAAAUGUAGUUUUUAACCCUAUGCAGAAGGAACCUAAGCAAAAAAUCCAAAUAAAAAUUAAAUAUAUAUAUAUAAAAAUACAAAUAAAAAUAAAAGCAUGUGGCAGAUGCUUUCAGAA